GAUGAACGCUAGCUACAGGCUUAACACAUGCAAGUCGCAGGACUGGCGCACGGGUGAGUAACGCGUAUCCAACCUUCCUAUAACUAGGGGAUAACCCGUUGAAAGACGGCCUAAUCCCGUAUGGUUAUGGACGGGGAUGCGUCUGAUUAGUUUGUUGGCAGGGUAACGGCCCACCAAGGCGACGAUCAGUAGUGGUUCUGAGAGGAACGUCCCCCAGAUUGGACCUGGGACACGGUCCAAACUCCUGCGGGAGGCAGCGGUGAGGCAUAUUGGUCAGUGGGCGUGAGCCUGAACCAGCCAAGUAGCGAGCAGGAUGGCGGCCUAUGGGUUGUAAACUGCUUUUAUGUAGGGAUAGGUACCACAUGAGUAAGGACCGGCUAAUUCCGUGCCAGCAGCCGCGGUAAUUC
rnacentral:rRNA from 1 species